GGCCAGACUCCUACGGGAGGCAGCAGUGGGGAAUAUUGCACAAUGGGGGAAACCCUGAUGCAGCGACGCCGCGUGAAGGAAGAAGUAUCUCGGUAUGUAAACUUCUAUCAGCAGGGAAGAAAACAGACGGUACCUGACUAAGAAGCCCCGGCUAACUACGUGCCAGCAGCCGCGGUAAUACGUAGGGGGCAAGCGUUAUCCGGAUUUACUGGGUGUAAAGGGGGCGCAGACGGCCAUGGCAAGCCCGGUGUGAAAGGCAGGGGCAUAACCCCUGGACUGCACUGGGAACUGUCAGGCUGGAGUGCCGGAGGGGUAAGCGGAAUUCCUGGUGUAGCGGUGAAAUGCGUAGAUAUCAGGAGGAACACCGGCGGCGAAGGCAGCGCACCGGCGCCCUACUGACGCUCAGGCACGAAAGCGUGGGUAUCGAACAGGAUUAGAUACCCCCGUA
rnacentral:rRNA from 1 species